rnacentral:rRNA from 1 species
AACGAACGCUGGCGGCAUGCCUAACACAUGCAAGUCGAACGAGACCUUCGGGUCUAGUGGCGCACGGGUGCGUAACGCGUGGGAACCUGCCCUUAGGUUCGGAAUAACUCCCCGAAAGGGGUGCUAAUAUCGGAUAAUGUCUUCGGACCAAAGAUUUAUCGCCUUUGGAUGGGCCCGCGUUGGAUUAGCUAGUUGGUAGGGUAAAAGCCUACCAAGGCGACGAUCCAUAGCUGGUCUGAGAGGAUGAUCAGCCACACUGGGACUGAGACACGGCCCAGACUCCUACGGGAGGCAGCAGUGGGGAAUAUUGGACAAUGGGCGAAAGCCUGAUCCAGCAAUGCCGCGUGAGUGAUGAAGGCCUUAGGGUUGUAAAGCUCUUUUACCCGGGAUGAUAAUGACAGUACCGGGAGAAUAAGCUCCGGCUAACUCCAUG